rnacentral:rRNA from 1 species
UACGAAGGGGGCUAGCGUUGCUCGGAAUUACUGGGCGUAAAGGGCGCGUAGGCGGUCAGUUUAGUCAGAGGUGAAAUCCCCGGGCUCAACCUGGGAACUGCAUCCAAAACUGGCAAGCUAGAGUAUGGUAGAGGGUGGUGGAAUUUCCUGUGUAGCGGUGAAAUGCGUAGAUAUAGGAAGGAACACCAGUGGCGAAGGCGGCCUUCUGGGUCCGCACUGACGCUGAGGCGCGAAAGCGUGGGGAGCGAACGGG